UUUCUUUUAGCUUACAUAAAGCGUUAGUUUGAAGCGCUAAAGACAACUUUUUGUUAAAGAGGG
rnacentral:tRNA from 1 species